AAUCCAGGCAGGACUACCAUGUCUCCAAGGAAUUUGGACUGAACAAAGAAAAUUAUGAGUAAUUAAAGGGGAAAGUGAAUCCAGUCAGGUUGAGGCUCAUCACUUCAGACGCAGCUUUGCUUUGAAGGAAGGAUUUAUAUUCCAAAGUCUUUGAAGAUGGCAGUUUGUUCCUUCUCUUCUAAGAGCCUGCACCAGGAACUUUGUGAUUGGUGUACGGAAGCCUUACUGCUGCAAAUCACAGAGUAUCAGAGCAACCAAGAAAGAAUACUGGAGAGACAUUUCUUCCCUCACUUCCUGUGAACCUUAUUAGGAAGCCUUAGGACACUUGCUGGGCUCUGAAUGCCACACCAUACUUAAGAAUCUCAUCAGUCCACCUUGCAAGACAAUGAUGUGUUUAUUCUUUUUAUAA